UGGGGAAUCUUGCGCAAUGGACGAAAGUCUGACGCAGCCACGCCGCGUGAGUGAAGAAGGCCUUCGGGUUGUAAAGCUCUGUCGGAGGGGACGAAAAGUCUUGGGGUUAAUAGCCCCAGGAUGUGACGGUACCCUUAAAGGAAGCACCGGCUAACUCUGUGCCAGCAGCCGCGGUAAUACAGAGGGUGCAAGCGUUGCUCGGAAUUAUUGGGCGUAAAGGGUAGGUAGGUGGUCUCAUUUGUGUGGGGUGAAAGCCUUGGGCUUAACUCAAGAAGUGCCCCGCAAACGGUGAGACUGGAGUACUGGAGAGGCUAGCGGAAUUCCCGGUGUAGCGGUGAAAUGCGUAGAGAUCGGGAGGAACACCAGAGGCGAAGGCGGCUAGCUGGACAGUAACUGACACUCAACUACGAAAGCGUGGGGAGCAAACAG
rnacentral:rRNA from 1 species